rnacentral:rRNA from 1 species
AUUGAACGCUGGCGGCAGGCCUAACACAUGCAAGUCGAGCGGAGCGGCGGACGGGUGAGUAAUGCCUAGGAAUCUGCCUGGUAGUGGGGGAUAACGUUCGGAACUGGGCGCUAAUACCGCAUACUCUCAGCAGAGCCUAGGUCGGAGUAGCUAGUUGGUGGGGUAAAGGCCUACCAAGGCGACGAUCCGUAACUGGUCUGAGAGGAUGAUCAGUCACACUGGAACUGAGACACGGUCCAGACUCCUACGGGAGGCAGCAGUGGGGAAUAUUGGACAAUGGGCGAAAGCCUGAUCCAGCCAUGCCGCGUGUGUGAAGAAGGUCUUCGGAUUGUAAAGCACUUUAAGUUGGGAGGCGUUACCAGCAGAAUAAGCACCGGCUAACUUCGUGCCAGCAGCCGCGGUAAUUC